UACGUAGGGUGCGAGCGUUAAUCGGAAUUACUGGGCGUAAAGCGUACGCAGGCGGCUAAGCAAGACAGGUGUGAAAUCCCCGGGCUUAACCUGGGAACUGCAUUUGUGACUGCUUGGCUAGAGUCCGUUAGAGGGGGGUGGAAUUCCACGUGUAGCAGUGAAAUGCGUAGAGAUGUGGAGGAACACCGAUGGCGAAGGCAGCCCCCUGGGAUGAGACUGACGCUCAUGUACGAAAGCGUGGGGAGCAAACAGG
rnacentral:rRNA from 1 species